rnacentral:rRNA from 1 species
ACGGGAGGCAGCAGUGGGGAAUAUUGGACAAUGGGGGAAACCCUGAUGCAGCGACGCCGCGUGAGUGAAGAAGUGUUUCGGUAUGUAAAGCUCUAUCAGCAGGAAAGAAAAUGACGGUACCUGACUAAGAAGCCCCGGCUAACUACGUGCCAGCAGCCGCGGUAAUACGUAGGGGGCAAGCGUUAUCCGGAUUUACUGGGUGUAAAGGGAGCGUAGACGGCUUUGCAAGUCUGAAGUGAAAGCCCGGGGCUCAGCCCCGGAACUGCUUUGGAAACUGUAGAGCUAGAGUGCAGGAGAGGUAAGUGGAAUUCCUAGUGUAGCGGUGAAAUGCGUAGAUAUUAGGAGGAACACCAGUGGCGAAGGCGGCUUACUGGACUGUAACUGACGUUGAGGCUCGAAGGCGUGGGGAGCAAACAGGAUUAGAUACCCUGGUA